CUGGUCUUGAACUGACCUUAAGUGAUCCACCCACCUCGGCCUCGCAAAGUGCUGGGAUUACAGACGUGAGCCACCGCGCCUGGCCCUUUCUACAUUUCUUGUUCUCAUUUUGUUUUUAACUUAAUUUCAUUAUGAAGUAUAAUAGACAAGCAGAAAAGUGCACAAAGUAGAUAUAUGGUUAAAUUAAUUAUUACUAAAUGAACACUUGUGAUUAUCCAGGUCAAGAAACAGAACAUUGCCAACACCCUCAGAAGCCCCCAUCAUGCCCCUCCCCGAUAAUUUUCCCUCCUCUUCUCCCUAGAUAACCAUUUUUUUGUUUGUUUUUUUGAUUUGUUUGUUUGUUUUUGUUGAGACAUGGUCUUUCUCUGUUGCCCAGGCUAGAGUGCAGUGGCGUGAUCAUGGUUUGUUGCAGUCUCAAAGUCCUGGGUUCAAAGGAUCCUUCCACGUCAGCCUCCCAAGUAGCUGGGACUACAGGCACACCACCACACCUAGCUAAUUUUUUUAUUUUUAUUUUUGCAGAGACAAAGUCUUACUAUGUUAUCCAGGCUGGUGUGGAACUCCUGACCUCAAGCAGUCCUCCCACCUCAGCCUCCCAAAUUGCUGGGAUUAUAGAUGUGAACCACUGUGCCUGGCCAAUAACCACCUUUAACUCUAUACUUUAAGUUUACCUGGUUUUGACAUUUAUAGAAAUUGGGACAUGCCUAGGAUUGGAAUUACUGCUUCAUGUGAUAUGCAUAUUCAACAUUAGUAGAUUUUCUUUUCCUUCCUUCCUUCUUUCCUUCCUUCCUUCCUCCUUUCCUUCCUUCCUUUCCUUCCUUCCUUCCUUCCUUUUCUUUCUUUCCUUUUCUUUUCUUUCUUUCCUUCUUUUCUUUCUUUUUUUUUCUUUUCUUUCUCACAGGGUCUCACUCUAUCUGGGCUAGUCCCAAACUCCUCGGCUUAAGCAAUCCUCCCACCUCAGCCUCCCAAAAUGCUGGGAUUAUCAACAUUAGUAGAUAUUACCAUACACUUUUUCCAGUGUGAUGUAUGAAUUUAUAUAGUCUUCAGCAGUUGAUGAGUUUUCAUUAUGCCACAUCCUUGCCAAGAGUUGGUAUUGUUGUUGUUCUUUUAAAUUUUAGCCAUUAGGUAAAAAUUUUAGAGCCUAAAAUUUUUAAAUGGCCAGUUCUGCAAGGAUUUCCUCUCUUGGAUAUUUUUUUAAAAACCUUUUAUUUUGAAUUUUAGACUUGGAUAGAAGUUGUGAAAAUAGCAAAGAAAUUUCCCAUGUACCUGUCACCUAGCCUACCCUGGUGAUAACAUAAUAUCUUAUAUAACCAUGAUAUAAUUAUCAAAACCAGGAAAUUGAAAUUUAUACAGUACUAUUAGCUAAACAAUGGACCUUAUUUGGAUAUCACUGGUUUGAUAUUACGUGUGUGUGUAUAAUUGAAAUUUUAUUGCAUGUGUAGAGUUGUGUGACCAUGAGGUGAGUAAAUGGGUCUUCAGGGGUAUGACAGGGUAAAACUGAUGCCAAGGGAAAAGCUAGUAGACUCUAUAGUACUAAACACAAUGUCAUUUAAUAUAUGAGUAGCUUUAAAAUUAUUAUAUCAAAAGUCAGUGAUAGGAAAGGCAGCUAGUUACGGUAGCUAAACACACACAGCUGGGUGCGGUGACACAUGCCUAUAGUCCCAGCUACUCAGGAGGCUGAGGCAGGAGGAUCACUUGAGUCCAGGAGUUCAAGUCCAGCCUGAGUGAAAUAGCAAGACCCCGUCUCUAUAAAAACAACAAAAACCCACUCUCACACAUUUGCACACUGUGCGUCUACCUGUUGGGGGAGCUGUGCACAUGGGUAAAGUCCCAGGGUCACUGGUUGAAGUUCACUUUGCAUUAUGACACACUCAGAAGGAAAGAUAAGUUUCUGCCCUUACAUCCAAUUUUACUUGAAGACAACUUUCUGUAGGUGAGGCCAGUGAGAUAACUUUCUGCUGACACCCCACAGCAUCCUCGUUCCUUCUGCCGGACUUCCAGAUUUCUAUUUCUGGCCCAAACCUCUCUCCUGAACAUCACUCCAUGGAUUCGUCUACAACCACUUCUAGUAUUUUCUUCCACAGCCAGGGAAGAAGUCCAUAAACAGCUCCCGGCUACAUCAUACUUAGGACGCCCAGAAAAAUGUAUCAGUAUAUCACAUCUCAGGGAAACCUUUUAUUGACUCUGUUUAGGUGAUGUGCUCAACAAUAAUUCACCACAUGGCCCAGGAGCCACCACCCUGGACCACAAACCCCAUAGCAGAUGCAGUCAGUACCUCACUCAUAUACCCUUGGCUCACUCCAAAGGUUACCUGCAGAUAGUUCCUUUAUGACCCGGUGUGUCUGUCUGUCGGAGGGAGUUCUUUAGCCCCUAGAGUCAGCUUGGCUGACAUGCAGGGCAGGCUGGAAAUGCUGUGGAGGUAACAACUCAGGAGCAAGCCACAUCCGGUGAGGAAAAACAAUAGAGGACAGAUAAUCCUGUUCCUUACCCUUCAGUGGGAUAAUUUUGAGGUGUGUUCUCCACAGUUUUGCAGAAGGCUUAGAGAGACUGAGUCACAGUUGUCCUCAGUGGUAACCUGCUCAUUAAUGCAUCCUUUAUUUGGUUUUCCUCCUCUCUCUGACUUCCCUUCCCCCUCACUGUGUUUUCUGGGAUAAACUCCCAAAUAAACUACUUGUACCAAAAUCCUUGCCUUGGGAUCUGCUUUCUGGGAAAUCAAAAUUAAGACAACCCCUGUAAAGGGAGGAGGCCAUCUUCCU
rnacentral:lncRNA from 1 species